AAGAACGCUGGCGGCAUGCUUAACACAUGCAAGUCGAACGGAUAGUAGCAAUACUAUUAGUGGCAAACGGGUGAGUAACACGUAGGAAUCUACCCUGUAGUACGGAACAACAGUUGGAAACGACUGCUAAUACCGCAUACGCUCCUUCGGGAGGAAAGAUUUAUCGCUAUAGGAUGAGCCUGCGCUAAAUUAGAUUGUUGGUGGGGUAAUGGCCUACCAAGUCGANGAUUUAUAGCUGGUCCGAGAGGACGACCAGCCACACUGGGGACUUAGAAACGGUCCAGACUCCUACGGGAGGCAGCAGUGAGGAAUAUUGGACAAUGGGCGCAAGCCUGAUCCAGCAAUGCCGCGUGAAUGAUGAAGGCCUUAGGGUUGUAAAGUUCUUUCGGUGGGGAAGAAAAUGACGGUACCCACAGAAGAAGCUCCGGCUAACUCCGUGCCAGCCGCCGCGGU
rnacentral:rRNA from 1 species